rnacentral:rRNA from 1 species
AAAAACCUGAAACAGAGCAUAUGGUGAAUGCCUUGGCACGCUGAGCCGAUGAAAGACGUAUGAGGCUGCGAUAAGCCUCGGGGAGCUGCCAACAAAGCUUCGAUCCGAGGAUUUCUGAAUGAGGAAACUCAUCCGGCGUCAUGGCCGGAUAUCGCUUGAGCGAAGGGAACGCAGGGAAGUGAAACAUCUCAGUACCUGCAGGAAAAGAUAUUCCGUGAGUAGUGGCGAGCGAAAGCGGAGGAAGGCUAAACCGCUGCAGAGUGUGCCCCUAAUGGUUUUCUGCAGCGCGGUUGCGGGAAAGAGCCUCCGGGGAUUAGGCGCCCGGAAGCGAGUUACAAAAGUCAAGACCAGAGGAACCGGAUUGAAAGCCGGGCCAAAGAGGGCGCACGCCCCGUACUCAUAAGUCUUGGCCCUCGCGCUCUUCUCCCAAGUAACGCGGGCCCCGUGGAAUCCCGCGCGAAUCCGCCCUGACCGCAGGGUAAGCCUAAAUACUAAAGCGUGACCGAUAGUGAACUAGUACCGUGAGGGACAGGUGAAAAGUACCCCGGGAGGGGAGUGAAACAGUUACUGAAACCAUAUGCUUUCAAACCGUCAGAGCCGGGUUGGCCCGGUGAUGGCGUGCCUAUUGAAAAAUGAGCCUGCGAGUUGCUGCUGUGUGGCGAGUCUAACCCUAAAGGGGGAGGCGGAGCGAAAGCGAGUCUUAAAAAGGCGACAAGCCGCAUGGCGCAGACCCGAAGCGGGACGAUCUAGCCGUGGCCAGGCUGAAGCGCGGGCAAUGCCGCGUGGAGGGCCGAACCCACCUGAGUUGAAAAUCGGGGGGAUGAGCUGCGGCUAGGGGUGAAAGGCCAAUCAAGUUCCGUGAUAGCUGGUUCUCUCCGAAAUGCAUUUUGGUGCAGCGUCGCGCGUUCCCUUCCGGGGGUAGAGCGACCAGAUGGCGGCGGGCGCAGUGCGCGUACCAAUGUCAGCUGAACUCCGAAUACCGGUAAGGCUAAGCGCGGCAGAAAGACGGCGGGGGAUAAGCUUCGUCGUCAAAAGGGAAACAGCCCAGAACAUCGUCUAAGGACCCUAAGAGCACGCUCAGUGGGAAAGGAUGUGGGGCCGCAAAAACAGCCAGGAGGUUGGCUCAGAAGCAGCCACCCUUAAAAGAGUGCGUAACAGCUCACUGGUCUAGCGGUCCUGCGCCGAGAAUGUAGCGGGGCUUAAGCGUGCCUCCGAAGACGUGUCAUCUUUUUUAAGAUGGGUAGGAGAGCGUUGAAAGCGGGCUGAAGCAGUCCGGUAACGGGCUGUGGACUGCUUUCAAGUGAGAAUGCAGGCAUGAGUAGCGAGAGGGGAGUGAGAAUCUCCCCCGCUGGAUGGCUAAGGAUUCCGGGGCCACGCUCGUCGUCCCCGGGUGAGUCGGGACCUAAGGCGAGGCCGACAGGCGUAGUCGAAUGGAAAAAGGAGUUGAUAUUCUCCUACCGGCGUUUGACCGACAAGAGGGCAAGGGAAACGAAACCCGGGACGGAGGGGCGAAAGAAAGGCUUCGGCCUUUGUCUAACCUCCCGGCCCGGGCGGAGGGUCCUUUGCCCUAGCGCGGGAGUGGUGCAGAAGGGUAGUCGAGCGCGGCGGUGGUCGUCCGUGUUUAAACGUGUAGGCUGCAGGGCAGGCAAAUCCACCCUGCUUAUGGCUCAGGCGCGAUGAUGGGGCCCGUAGGGGCCGAUAAUCGAUGAUCCCAUGCUGACAAGAAAAACUUCGGCGCGAGGUUGAACGUCGCCCGUCCCGCAAACCGACACAGGUGGCCAGGUAGAGACU